AUGUGGCGGCUAAGGAUCGGGGAGGAGGCCGGCGGCGAGCCAUGGCUGCGCACCACCAACGCGCACGCCGGCCGCCAGGUCUGGGAGUUCGACCCCGCUGCUGCCGGCGCCCUGGACGACGUGGACAACGCGCGCCGCGAGUACUCCAGCCGCCGCACCAGCUCAAGCACAGCGCUGAUGCGUUUGCAGUUUGCCGAGUUGACUGCUCCUAAGCUGGACAUUCCUGGUAUCAAGCUCCAAGAGCAUGAAGAUGUCACCAAAGAAGCUGUUUUGACCUCUUUAAAGAGGGCAAUCGGACAGUUGUCUACUCUCCAAACACAUGAUGGACACUGGCCUGGGGAUAUCGCCGGUCCUAUGUUCCUUCUGCCGGGCUUGGUAAUAGCACUGCAUUCGACUGGUGCUCUUAAUACUGUCUUAUCGUCAAAGCAUCAGAGGGAGAUACGUCGGUAUCUCUACAAUCAUCAGAACAAAGAUGGAGGCUGGGGAUUGCACAUUGAGGGCCCAAGCACCAUGUUCGGUUCUGUCUUGAACUAUGUUACCUUGAGAUUACUUGAAAAAGGAUCAGAUACAACCUUUACAACAUCAUGGGGAAAGUUUUGGCUUUCGGUUCUUGGUGUAUUUGACUGGUCUGGUAACAAUCCAUUGCUUCCAGAACUAUGGUUACUACCAUACUGCCUCCCAUUUCAUCCAGGGCGCAUGUGGUCCCAUUGCCGAAUGGUAUACUUUCCCAUGUCUUACAUAUAUGGAAAGAGGUUUGUCGGCCCAAUUACACCAACUGUAUUGAACUUACGGAAGGAGCUCUAUAAAGUACCCUAUGAUGAGAUAGAUUGGGACAAGGCUCGCAGCCAAUGUGCUAAGGAGGAUCUGUACUGUCCUCAUCCACUGGGACAAGAUAUCUUAUGGUCCACUCUUCACAAAUUCGUUGAACCAGUUAUGUCGCAUUGGCCCGGAAGCAAAUUGAGGGAGAAAGCUUUGAAAAAUGCCAUGCAACAUAUUCAUUACGAAGAUGAGAACACUCAGUAUAUUUGCAGUGGUGCUGUAGGGAAGGUACUGAAUAUGCUUUGUUGCUGGAUAGAAGAUCCUAACUCACAGGAAUUCAAACUUCAUAUUCCAAGGAUCUAUGAUUAUUUGUGGGUUGCUGAAGAUGGCAUGAAGAUGCAGGGUUAUAAUGGCAGCCAGCUUUGGGACACAACUUUCACAGUUGAAGCUAUACUGGCUACGGAACUCACAGAAGAGUUCUGUCCUACUCUUAAACUAGCCCAUGGCUACAUAAAAAAUUCACAGGUUCUUCACGACUGCCAUGGAGAUUUGAGUGUCUGGUAUCGUCAUAUAUCUAAAGGUGCAUGGACCUUUUCUACCGUCGAUCAUGUUUGGCCUGUAUCAGAUUGCACUGCACUAGGAUUAAAGGCCUCAUUGUUGUUGUCAAAGAUUUCUCCAAAAAUGGUUGGUGUAUCAAUAGAAGCCAAUAGACUUUAUGACGCUGUCAAUUGUCUCCUUUCUUGGAUGAACGGAAAUGGUGGCUUUGCAUACUCACCAGGUCUUAUGCCUGGCUGGAGUGUUGUUGAAUGUACUUCAGAAGUGAUCCAGGCCCUGACUGCAUUCAGAAAGCACUACCCUGGACAUAGGAGGGAAGAGAUAGACAAAUGUAUCCAUAAAGCCGAAAACUUCAUUGAGAGUAUUCAAAGAAGCGACGGCUCAUGGUUAGUGUUGAAACUCUGUUCCGGAAGAAAAGAAUGUCCAAUACACAUGCAUCUUUUGAUGCUUUUUGGUGUCUUCACUCAAACACAGAAACUGCUGCCAUUAUUGCUCAUUGUGUUGUCUAUUUGCAACAGGUACGGCUCCUGGGCUAUUUGUUUCACCUAUGGGACAUGGUACGCAGUGAGGGGAUUAGUUGCUGCUGGAAGGACAUUCAAGAACUGUCAUGCUAUUAGGAAGGCCUGCGACUUCUUGUUGUCGAAAGAGACUCCUUCUGGUGGCUGGGGAGAAAGCUAUUUGUCAUGCAGGGAUAAGGUUUACACCGAACUUGAAGGAAGGCGCCCCCAUGUAGUCAAUACCAGUUGGGCCAUGCUGGCCGAGAGAGAUCCAGGGCCUCUGCACCGGGCAGCAAGGGUUUUGAUUAACCUACAACUAGAGGAUGGCGAGUUCCUUCAGCAAGAGAUCAUCGGCAUCUUCGCCAGGAACUGCACCAUCAGUUACUCCCAGUACAGGAACAUCUUCCCUAUCUGGGCGCUUGGAGAGUACCGCUGCCGUGUCCUGACAAUGCCUAGCUGCUGA
rnacentral:rRNA from 1 species